rnacentral:rRNA from 1 species
AGUGAACGCUGGCGGUAGGCCUAACACAUGCAAGUCGAACGGCAGCACAGUAAGAGCUUGCUCUUACGGGUGGCGAGUGGCGGACGGGUGAGGAAUACAUCGGAAUCUACUUUUUCGUGGGGGAUAACGUAGGGAAACUUACGCUAAUACCGCAUACGACCUACGGGUGAAAGCAGGGGAUCUUCGGACCUUGCGCGAUUGAAUGAGCCGAUGUCGGAUUAGCUAGUUGGCGGGGUAAAGGCCCACCAAGGCGACGAUCCGUAGCUGGUCUGAGAGGAUGAUCAGCCACACUGGAACUGAGACACGGUCCAGACGCCUACGGGAGGCAGCAGUGGGGAAUAUUGGACAAUGGGCGCAAGCCUGAUCCAGCCAUACCGCGUGGGUGACGAAGGCCUUCGGGUUGUAAAGCCCUUUUGUUGGGAAAGAAAAGCAGCAGGUUAAUACCCCGCUGUUCUGACGGUACCCAAAGAAUAAGCACCGGCUAACUUCGUG